rnacentral:misc_RNA from 1 species
CAGAGUUGCAAAACUCCCACAAACCAUCGCGAAUCUUACCCGUACGGUUGCCUCGGCGCUGGCGGUCCGGAAGGCCCUCGGGCCCCCCCGGAUCCUCGGGUCUCCCGCUCGCGGGAGGCUGCCCGCCGGAGUGCCGAAACCAAACUCUUGAUAUUUUAUGUCCCUCUGAGUAAACUUUUAAAUAAGUCA